CAGCAGCCGCGGUAAUACAGAGGGUGCGAGCGUUAAUCGGAUUUACUGGGCGUAAAGCGUGCGUAGGCGGCUUUUUAAGUCGGAUGUGAAAUCCCUGAGCUUAACUUAGGAAUUGCAUUCGAUACUGGGAAGCUAGAGUAUGGGAGAGGAUGGAAGAAUUCCAGGUGUAGCGGUGAAAUGCGUAGAGAUCUGGAGGAAUACCGAUGGCGAAGGCAGCCAUCUGGCCUAAUACUGACGCUGAGGUACGAAAGCAUGGGGAGCAAACAGGAUUAGAUACCCGAGUAGUCCCUGUCUCUUAUAC
rnacentral:rRNA from 1 species